GUGGGGAAUAUUGCACAAUGGGGGAAACCCUGAUGCAGCGACGCCGCGUGAAGGAAGAAGUAUUUCGGUAUGUAAACUUCUAUCAGCAGGGAAGAAAAUGACGGUACCUGAGUAAGAAGCCCCGGCUAACUACGUGCCAGCAGCCGCGGUAAUACGUAGGGGGCAAGCGUUAUCCGGAUUUACUGGGUGUAAAGGGAGCGUAGACGGUAAUGUAAGUCUGAUGUGAAAGCCCGGGGCUCAACCCCGGGACUGCAUUGGAAACUAUGUAACUAGAGUACCGGAGAGGUAAGCGGAAUUCCUAGUGUAGCGGUGAAAUGCGUAGAUAUUAGGAGGAACACCAGUGGCGAAGGCGGCUUACUGGACGGAAACUGACGUUGAGGCUCGAAAGCGUGGGGAGCAAACAGGA
rnacentral:rRNA from 1 species